AACCAUUCUCACCUGCGGCUAGACCUGCGGAGGGAUCAUUAAUAAAUGUUACUUCGGUAACUUAAUUAAUCCCUAACACCUGUGCAUCUUGUCGCUUCGGCGUCAUUUUAUAAACAUCAGUGUAAUGAAUGUAAAGUAUUAUAACAAAUACAACUUUUAACAACGGAUCU
rnacentral:misc_RNA from 1 species